AUGUCUUGGAGGAGGACAGGCAGGGUUUCCCUGCCCUUCUCCUCCAGACAUCACGCCUAUGAAACCCUGCCUGUCCUCCUCCAAGACAUCACUGCCUAUGAACCCUGCCUGUCCUCCUCCAAGACAUCACUGCCUGAUGAAACCCUCCUGUUCUCCUCCAAGACAUCACUGCCUAUGAAACCCUGCCUGUCCUCCUCCAAGACCACGCCUAUGAUGAAACCCUGCCUGUCCUCCUCCAAGACAUCACUGCCUAUGAAACCGCCUGUCUCCUCCAAGACAUCACUACCUAUGAAACCCUGCCUGUCCUCCUCCAAGACAUCACUGCCUAUGAAACCCUGCCCGUUCUCCUCCAGACAUCACUGCCUAUGAAACCCUGCCUGUCCUCCUCCAAGACAUCACUGCUAUGAAACCCUGCCCGUUCUCCUCCAAGACAUAACUGCCUAUGAAACCCUGCCUGUCCUCCCCAGACAUCACUGCCAUGAAACCCUGCCUGUCCUCCUCCAAGACAUCACUGACUAUGAAACCCGCCUGUUCCUCCUCCAUGACAUCACUGCCAUGAAACCCUGCCUGUCCCUCCCCAAGACAUCACUGCCUAUGAAAUCCUGCAUGCCCUCCAAGACAUCACUGCUAUGAAACCCUGCCUGCCCUCCCCCAAGACAUCACUGCCUAUGAAAUCCUGCUAAUGCCCUCCAAACAUCACUGCCUAUGAAAUCCUGCCUGUCUCCCCCAAGACAUCACUGCCUAUGAAAUCCUGCAUGCCUCCAAGACAUCACUGCCUAUAAACCUGCAUGCCCUCCAAGACAUCACUGCCUAUGAAACCUGCAUGCCCUCCAAGACAUCACUGCCUAUGAAAUCCUGCAUGCCCUCCAAGACAUCACUGCCUAUGAAACCCUGCAUGCCCUCCAAGACAUCACUGCCUAUGAAAUCCUGCCUCCCUCCAAGACAUCACUGCCUAUGAAACCUGCCAGUCCUCCUCCAAGACAUCACUGCCUAUGAAAUCCUGCCUGUCCUCCUCCAAGACAUCACUGCCUAUGAAACCUGCAUGCCCUCCAAGACUCACUGCCUAUGAAACCCUGCCUGUCCUCCUCCAAGACAUCACUGCCUAUGAAACCCGCCUGUCCUCCUCCAAGACAUCAUGCCUAUGAAACCCUGCCUGCCUCCUCCAAGACAUCACUGCCUAUGAAACCCUCCUGUCCUCCUCCAUGACAUCACUGCCUAUGAAACCCUGGCCUGUCCCCAAGACAUCACUGCCUAUGAAACCUGCCUGUCCUCCAGACAUCACUGCCUAUUGAAA
rnacentral:lncRNA from 1 species